UACGAAGGGGGCUAGCGUUGUUCGGAAUUACUGGGCGUAAAGCGCACGUAGGCGGAUCGAUCAGUCAGGGGUGAAAUCCCAGGGCUCAACCCUGGAACUGCCUUUGAUACUGUCGAUCUGGAGUAUGGAAGAGGUGAGUGGAAUUCCGAGUGUAGAGGUGAAAUUCGUAGAUAUCGAGAGGGACACCUGCGGCGAAGGCGGGUUGCUGGGCUGACACUGACGCUGAUGCGCGAAAGCUAGGGGAGCGAACGGG
rnacentral:rRNA from 1 species